AGUCGCCGAGGAUGGUGUCAUGGCGCCCCGAACCCUGCUUCUGCUGCUCUCGGGGGCCCUGGUCCUGACCCAGACCUGGGCAGGCUUCCACUCCUUGAGGUAUUUCCACACCACCAUGUCCCGGCCCGGCCGCGCGGAUCCCCGCUUCCUCUCCGUGGGCGACGUGGACGACACGCAGUGCGUGCGGCUCGACAGCGACGCCACGAGUCCCAGGAUGGAGCCGCGGGCGCCGUGGAUGGAGCAGGAGGGGCCGGAAUAUUGGGAAGAGGAGACAGGGACCGCCAAGGCCAAAGCACAGUUUUACCGAGUGAACCUGCGGACCCUGAGCGGCUACUACAACCAGAGUGAGGCCUGGGCUGCCAGCCACACAGAGUCAUGGACAGGUCUCUACAGACACAACUUAGUGCCAGCUUGGAUGAAACCCUCUGAGGAAUGGGUGCCAUCUUUCAGGAUGUGGUGCAUGUAUUGAAUCAAAGAUGUCUCUAUAGUGCUGUGUUUACAGAAGGAAGAAUACGUGGGUCCAAAAACCAAGAAGUAGAAGCAGGUGUGGCUCCAUAUCUAAACCCUUAUAUUCACCUUCAGGGUGAUUUUGCACUUCUCAUCUCCAAUAUCUGGGCUCUGUAGGGGAGGAGGUCCUGGUUUCCCAAAGGGGGCACCCUGGCAAGGAGACAUUUAAAUGAGAGUCCAUGGAAAUAUACAUUAUGGCUGCCCCCAGGGAUGUUUGAAUAGUAUGUGUCCAGAUACAAGCAGGUGAGAAGAGGAGGAGGCAGGGCUGCUAUCACACAAGGAGGGCAGGAGAUGUGUGUGUGGAAAUAAGAGAUCCACUUGGAGACCUUAUGGUUCCCCUUGUCCUGUUGUAAGUGUGAGCAGAAUCAUCCAGCAACCCAGCCUGAGAGGGUUUCAUAUUCAAGAGCCCAGAACCCUCAGGAAGGAAGGAUUGAGUGAUACUCACAGGUAAUGUCCCAAGGCUGUGCUCCUGUGCUCUGACAUCCUCAGCAGGAUUGGUGCAAAGCCCUGCUUCCCAUGGGCUGUUCCCAGCCAGUGACUGGUCACAGCAGGCAUUAAGGCAAGCCAUUCCUGGGAGACACGGGACUCCUCUGAUGGCUAACUGUAGCUGGAAGACUCCUCCACGGCCUUGCUCAACUCUCCUUAGAUUGCCUGUGCUCUAGGAUGCGUCAAACAAACUUUCUCUCCUUCUGUCCAGCACUUGGGGUCACACUUGCAUCGUGGUCUGCCGCCUUUUCUCAGGGAUUUCUGGCUCACUUCCCAUAUUCCCUUACGGGUGUGUCCCCUUAUAAGAUGUCGCAGACUUUAAGCUCAUCUUGGCAUCUGCUCCUUGAAGGACUUGGACUAAAAAUUAUUUCCAUCUGCAUAUCAAUAACUCUUAUUCCAACCUGUAAAAUCCUUCUCUUUAUCCAACUUCUGCCACCCCCACAGAAUCUAUUUUACUUGUGUGUGUAGUAUCUCUUUGAGUUAACAGAUAUUUGUUCUAUUAAGCUACUAAAUUUUGAGGUAGUUUGUGACACAGCACUUGAUAACUAUUAAGGCUUUCUUAAGUUUCCAUUAUUCCAUGGAUAUUAUCUACAUAUCUUUUAAUCCCUUGCAUUUUAAUAACAUUAGCUAUACUUGCUGUUUCCAACUCUUUCCUCCUAUUUUUGAACAUUUUAAAUUUUGUCUUUCUCUGUCCUUCCUUCCUUCUUUCCUCCUUUCCUCCCUCAGAGCUUUCUCCCUCCCUCCAUUUUUUUCAUAAACUCCAAGUGUUUAGGCCAAAAGGAAGCAUUAUUUGAACUUUAUGCUAAAAGUAUAAUGCCGUAAUUUAUAAUAUAAAAGUAAAGAAAAGGAAGUUGUUAAUGGAAUAUGAAAAAAUGCCUAGGGUGAUUCUAUAGCCAAGACAGUACCUUUUAACAUUUAAUUUCUGCCUCCAACUGAAUGUUUUCAGAACACAUGAGCAACACAAGCUCUUUCCCAUUCUUGGUACAAGCACUUGAGAAAUCAAAUUAGCCUUAUCUAGUAUGAUUAAUGUCCAUACAUCAUAUAAUCCCACCAUCUGCCUCCUGAUCAUACCCCCUGGGGACAUUCUUGGCUAUGUGUCCAGGAGACAUGUACACCAAUGUUUAUGGCAAAAACUGGAAACAAUCACAUAUACAUCAAUGGGAAUUAACAAAAUAGUCGUAUAAUAAUAAAAAGUAAAACUUCAGCAGCAACAGUGAAUGAACAGCACCCUCCCACAUCAGAGAUAACUCUCCUACACAUAACAUGCAUCAGCAUCACAGAAGAAUGCACAUUGUGUGAGUUCUCUGUACGGGGAAGUUAAAAAAAGCAGGUCAAACUGUGAUUUGGAUAUAUAUAUAUAUACUUAUUGUAAAAAUCUUUAGAGACAAUGAAAAGGAAUAGUAAAUACAAGACUCAAGAUAGAAGUUCCUUUUGGGGAAUAGAAUUGGACAACAGCCGAGGGUGGCUUCAUAGGUUUUGUUUUUUAUGCCAGGAGGGGAUGUCCAGGUAGUUAAGUUACUUGAUCAUAAAUCUUUCUUUCUUUCUUUCCUUCCUUCCUUCCUUCCUUCCUUCCUUCCUUCCUUCCUUCCUUCCUUCUUUCCUUCUUUUCUUUCUUUCUUUCUUUCUCUUUCUUUCUUUCUUUCUUUCUUUCUUUCUUUCUUUCUUUCUUUCUUUCUUUCUUUCUUUCUUUCUUUCUUUCUUUCUUUCUUUCUUUCUUUCUUUCUUUCUUUCUUUCUUUCUUUCUUUCUUUCUUUCUUUCUUUCUUUUCGAGAUGGAGUCUCCCUCUUGUUGCCCAGGCUGGAGUGCAGUGGCAUGAUCUCAGUUCACUGCAACCUCCGCCUCCCAGGUUCAAGCAAUUCUCCUACCUCAGCCUCCUGAGUAGCUGGAAUUAUAGGCAUCCACCACGACACCCAGGUAAUUUUUGUAUUUUUAGUAGAGACGGGGUUUCACCAUAUUGUCCAGGUUGGUCUCAAACUCCUGACCUCAGGUGAUCCGCCAACUUCGGCCUUCCAAAGUGCUGGGAUUACAGACAUGAGCCACCAUUCCCGGCCCACAAAUCUUUAAAGUGUCAUUUUUCAAAAUGCACCUUGUGUGCCAUUCCUGACUGAUUAUUUGGAAAUGAAAGAGAAAAGAAAAUACCAAAGUUCAUCUCAAGGAUCCUUAGCAAUAACUACACACGUUAAAACAAAGCCACAGCCAAUUGUAAAGAGUCAUGUGACAGAGAGGACCAGGAUCUCAUGAAAAAUAGCCUUGGCUAGAAAGAGGUCAUUUGACCCUGGGCUAAUUGGCAACUCUCUACAUUGUCUGGCAUACAGUGUUCAAUCUGAUGUGCAAGGCAAUUGUAUCUUGCAAAGAAUUUGAGAAUUUGAUAUGUUGCUCACAUUUUACCACACAUACAAGUGGAUUAAACUUUUACACAGUAAAAAAAAAAAGCAUUGUUGAGCAAAAUAAAUUAAAUGAAAAGACAUAAAGGAAUAACUAGUGAUGAAAUAGCAAUAAGAAUGGAAAACAUGAAAGAGAUGCUUGUACAGCAAUGAUAGCAGCACAAAAGAACAGUGUUUUUCAGAAUCAUACAGGAGUCCAAAUCACUUCUACCACAUCUAAUUAAAAAACACAGUGAAAGAUGUUAAACUUUCAUAGGAUGCCCACUGAAUAGCCAGUUAUUGAAAAAUCUUGUUCCUAGAUUGGAGUAAACAAUUUCUGCCUACCCUAGCCAAACAAAUUAUUGUCAUGAUGCUAAGCUAGUGUAUAGACAGAGGUGUGAGAUUCACAUUUUUCUAACUGCAAAGCACCCUGAUUAGGCAAAUAUUUUUGUAGAUGCUUGAGUAAGAAAAUUGGCAUUUUGGGCAUUCUUAAACCGAAUUAGAAACUUCUGAAGAGAAACAAACGUAGUUAUGAUUGUAAAGGCAUUAUUGUAUGGCACCAAAGUCUUGGGACACUUUAAUUUAGCUACUGUAUUUUCUCAACUCUGUUGCAACUUAUCAAAGAGAAUAUUAAUAUUAAAGGCAUUUACAAAAAAAAUCUGAGAUAUUGUUGUAUCUUCUUUCUCUGUCUCAAAUAUUUAAUCAACUUUACAGAAGAGAAUUUUAAAGUAUUAAAAAAAGUCAGAUACAAGAAGUAUUUGAUUUACAAAACCCUGAAACAAUAAUGUUAAUUUUGCUUUUAACAUGUUUAUAAAUUCUUUGAUACUCCUCCUUUCCAGAAGUGCAGCUUCAUUCCCUCCCUGUUCGUGUGGCCUGGACUUAAUGACUCACUUCUAACUGAUAGAGUAAUGCUGACAUAAUAGUUUGUGAUUCUGGGUGUAGAACAUAAGACUCACUGAAGUUUCUACUUUGGUUCUUUCUUUCUCUGGAAUCAUGAGCCCUGGGGGAAGCUGGCUGUUGUGUCAUAAGGAGGCCUGUGGUCCAUGUGACUAGGAAGUGAGUCCUCCUGGGACCAGACAAUAAGAAGCUAAAGCCUCUUCCAAAAGCCAUGUGAGAGAUUCUUGUGUCUUGUGAAUCCCCGGCCCCAUUUGAGCCCUCAGAUGAUUCAGCCCUGGAAGACAACUAGACUGCAACGUUGUGAGAGGCCCUGAGCCAGAAGCAUUCAGAGAAACUUCUCCUGGAUUCCUGACCAUGGAUAACUGUGGGAGAUGAUAAAUAUUUGUUGAUUUGAGCUGCUAAGUUGUAGGUGACUUGUUAUGCAGCAGUAGAUAACUAAUACAGCUUCACAAGAGAGGAUGAAUCACUGAACUUUUUCAUUUGCUCUAAAUUCAUUAUAAGAUAUUAAACAUGUCAUUUGCUUUUAAUAUUUAAUAAAAAUUUCCAUGGCUAUAUAAGAUA
ensembl:lncRNA HLA-V major histocompatibility complex, class I, V (pseudogene)